rnacentral:ncRNA from 1 species
AGGGUUCAUUUGGCCUUUUUAUACACUAGUUGAGUUUCCUAGGCAUUUAAUGUCCAUAAUUCAAAUCUGAAGUACAAAUGGGCUGGGCCACACACGUGCUACAAUGGCAAUGACAAUGGGAAGCAAGGCUGUAAGGCGGAGCGAAUCCGGAAAGAUUGCCUCAGUUCGGAUUGUUCUCUGCAACUCGGGAACAUGAAGUUGAAAUCGCUAGUAAUCGCGAAUCAGCAUGCCGCGGUGAAUAU